CACCGUAGAUCAUGAAGUAGUCAUGGACCUCGGGGAACUCCUCUGCCUUGUGGCCCUCCUUCUUGUCGUUGUUGGGGGCUCUGCCUUCUUCCGCCAGUGGCCCGGCCUUGUGGAAGUAGCGCCGAAGCAUGACGCACUCCUCAAGGGUGUGCUUGAUGGGACCCUGAUGAUAGGGGCACGACUCCUUGAGCAUCUUGUCGAACAGGUUGGCGCCUCCAGAGGGCUUCUGAGGGUUCCUGUGCUCGGCGGGGGCGACAAGAUCUGCGUCGGCGGCGUCACGUUUCGCUUGCGACUUCUUCUUGCCCUUCUUCUUGGUGCCGUGCUGAGCGGACGCCUCGGGGACUUCUUCCGGUUGGCGCCCCUGAGGCUGCUUGCCCUUCCGGAAGAUGGCCUCGACCGCCUCCUGGCAAGAGGCGAACUUGGUGGCGAUGUCCAUCAGCUCGCUCGCCCUGGUGGGAGUCUUGCAACCCAGCUUGCUCACCAGGUCACGGCAAGUGGUGCCGGCGAGGAACACGCCGAUGACAUCUGAGUCGGUGAUGUUGGGCAGCUCGGUGCGCUGCUUCGAAAAUCGCCGGAUGUAGUCCCGGAGGGAUUCUCCCGGCUGCUGGCGGCAGCUUCGGAGAUCCCAGGAGUUCCCAGGGUGUACGUAUGUGCCCUGGAAGUUGCCGGCGAAAGCUUUGACCAGGUCGUCCCAGUUCGAGAUCUGCACAGGAGGCAGAUGCUCCAGCCAGGCUCAGGCGGCGUCGGAGAGGAAUAGAGGGAGGUUGCGAAUGAUGAGGUUGUCAUCGUCCAUUCCACCCAGCUGGCAGGCCAGCCGGUAGUCCGCGAGCCACAGUUCCAGCCUUGUCUCCCCCGAGUACUUGGUAAUGGUAGUCGGGGUUCAGAACCGGGUCGGGAACGGCGCCCGUCGUAUGGCCCGGCUGAAAGCUUGCGGACCGGUGGUUUGGGCGAGGGGCUCCGAUCCUCCCCGCUGUCGUAGCGUCCCCCACGCCUGGGGUGGUAGCCUCGGCGCACCUUUUUGUUGAGGUGGGCUCGACGGUCGUGGCGGUGGUGCUCGUUGCCGAGGCGUCCCGGGGCCACAGGCGCUGUGUCCCGCGUGCGCCCGGUGUGGACCGAGGCUUCCCGCAUGAAUCGGGAAGUCGUGGUGGGACGCUCCGGGGGGUACCCUUGCCUUCGGGAGGCAGAGCUUUCGGCCCGUCGGACCGCGGCAUCCUCCAGGAGAUUCUUGAGCUCUCCCUGGAUUCGCCGCCCCUCGGUGGUGGAUGGUUCCGGCAUCGCUCGGAGUAGUAUUGCUGCUGCAGCCAGGUUCUGGCUGACCCCACUGGAAGCUGGGGGCAGUCUUGCCCUGGCAUCGUCGGCGAUGCGGUGCUAGACGUCUUGGGCCAGAUGACACGCUUCUCCGGCCGGUGCUCGGCCUGCCCACUCCUGCCCGAUAUUUUGCCGAAGCUGCACAAGUUGUCCUGCUUCCUCGUCGAGCCUGGCCUGCAUCUCGCGGAUUUGCUCGAGCUGUGCGUCCUGACCCCCCGCAGGGACUGGGACCACAGCUAGCUCCCGAAGGAUGUCAACGCGAGGCGCAGGCCUAGGGGAUCGCCGUCCUCCGGCAUACCAAGAUGGUUGCCUUCGUCGAGACCCCCUAGAUCGACGUGGAAACAUUCGCGACUUGGGCCACAGUCCUCGUCGCCGAGGCUGUGGCUACUAUCGGAGCAAUCAGAGAGGCAGUAGUCACAUGCGGUCAUGAAGUCCCGCAUGGCACUGGGGUUAUCGAGCCCGGAGAAAUCCCAACCAGAGUCGGGCUCGUCAUCUUCCUUGGAACCCGGGGGCCCGUAGGUUGAGACAGUCGUCAGUCGGUCCCAGGUUGACCGCAUAUGAUACCCCGGAGGGUUUGGAUAUGCCUUUAUGAAAGCAUCCACCAAAGCGGGGUCGCUUGGUGGGUCGAGGCUGAAUCUAAAAGGCAUAGGACGGGAAACGGACGGUACCUCUUGAUCGACGGAUGGUGACGAAGUCGCGUCGGGGACGGACUGCACCGUUAUCUCGGGUACGAGACUAACGCCCAGCAAGUCCUUCGCGAGCGUGCUGGCGCCAUCCGUCUGCUUGGGGUUGGCGUGUUGCGGGGAAACGACGCUCGUCUUCGUCUCAGACGCGAGGUCAACGCCCGACGUGUCCCCCGUUGGGGCGUCGGCGCCGUCGACUCGCUCGACAGCCGACGAGGUGCCACCUCCUGCAUGGCCAUGGUUGCCCUGCCUCCUCCUCCGUCAGCGGGGAAGGUGACGGGACAGACCCGGAUGUCGCUCUUCCGCCACGUGGGGAAGACGUCGUUGAUUCCGCCGCCGACGGGCGGGCUGACGGCCGCCAUUGUCGUUGUCGCGCGGCGGAUGAAGGAGUAUCAUGUCGUAGCUGCCGUCGAGGGACAUGAACUCAAGACUCCCGAAAUGGAGCACCGUCCCGGGUUGGAGAGGUUGUUGGAGACUACCCAUCUGGAGCUUGACGGGAAGAUGUUCGUCAACACGCAGCAGGCCCCUACCUGGCGCGCCAACUGUCGGCGUUUCGACCCCGGGGGGUCCCUGGACCGACGAGUAAAUUGUCGUUGCGUGUCCCAGCCCAGAUGGGUCGGCGCGAGACGGAACACAAGGGGGGAAAACAGUAAGGGGAAACCGCGGCCUUCGUGUUGUCCUGCGCCCAGGGCGGAUGCGCUAGCAGUAGGGGGUUACAAGCGUUCGCGUGGGAGAGAGAGAGAGAGCGAGGGCCUUGUGCGCCAGCCCGUUCUCCCGCGCGACCACCUUCUCAUACGAGAGCCCUGGACCUUCCUUUUAUAUAUGUAAGGAGAGGGCCCAGGUGUACAACGGGGGGUGUAGCAAUGUGCUAACGUGUCUAGCAAAGGCGAGCCAGAGCCCUAUGUACAUGCCGUCGUGGCUGUCGGAGAGGUUUUGGUGCCCUGUUCAUGUGGUGUCGUGGCCGCCGGAGGAGCGCUUGAGCCCUGUGGAAGUACAGCUAUCGGGGCUGUCGGAUCCUUGCUGACGUCUCCUUGCUUCCGUAAGGGGCUGAGAGCCGCCGUCGUCAUGGAGCACGCGGGGUGCCAUCAUCACUUGUUUACCGGGGCGAGCCAGAUGGGACGCCGGUCUUGUUCCCCGUAGCCUGAGCUAGCUAGGGGUAGGGUAAUGAUGGCGCCCCUUGUGACGUGGUCGGUCCGAGCCCGAGGUCGGGCGAGGCGGAGGCUCCUCCGAGGUCGAGGUUGAGUCCGAGCCCCAGGGGUCGGGCGAGGCGGAGACUGUCGUCCGAGGUCGAGGUUGAGUCCGAGCCCCAGGGGUCGGGCGAGGCGGAGACUGUCGUCCGAGGUCAAGGUUGAGUCCGAGCCCCGGGGGUCGGGCGAGGCGGAGACCGUCGUCCGAGGUCGAGGUAGAGUCCGAGCCCCGGGGGUCGGGCGAGGCGGAGUCCGUCUUCCGAGGUCGAGGCUGAGUCCGAGCCCUGGGGUCGGGCGAGGCGGAGUCCGUCUUCCGAGGUCGAGGCUGAGUCCGAGCCCUGGGGUCGGGCGAGGUGGAGCUUCCUAUGGCGCCUGAGGACGAUCUUGGCGGCUGUCAGCCUCACCCUGACGAGUGGCACAGCAGUCGGAGCAGCGCAGGCGGCGCUGUUUUCCUGUCAGGUCGGCCAGUGGAGCGGCGAAGUGACUGCGGUCACUUCGGCUCUGUCGACUGAAGAGCGCACGUUAGGAUAAGGUGUCAGGCGAUCCUCGCAUUGAAUGCUCCUGCGAUACGGUCGGUUGGCGUAGCGAUCCGGCCAAGGUUGCUUCUCCGCGAAGCCUGCCCGAGCUGGGCUUCGGGCGAGUCGAAGGUGCGUCCGUUGCUUGAGGAGACCCUCGGGCGAGGCGUGAAUCUGCCUUGGUCUACUGUUCCUGCCCGAGGCUGGGCUCGGGCGAGACGAGAUCGUGUCCCUCGUGUGGACGGAGCCUUGACCGGAAUCGCGCCCAUCAGGCCUUUGCAGCUUUGUGCUGAUGGGGGUUACCAGCUGAGAUUAGGAGUCUUGGUGGUACCCCUAAUUAUGGUCCCCGACAGUGAGUGUCUUAUUUAUUCUCAACACGCUCGAUAUUGGUUCUAUAACUAAUAUAUUAUAUUUGCAACAGUCUUGGUUUCCACAGCAGGCACAACAGCAACCAUUUGUUUUCCCUCAGUUUCAAUUUAGUUAAGACUUGUCGUUUGUAUCAACCUAAUUUCAAAUCUUUACUAAACUUGAUUUUGUAGGGAUCUGGGGUCAUGGGCCACAACACGCCACCACCGGUCAUACCAGCACCAGGAGGAGCUUAUGCAGGGGAGGGAGCUACUCCAGGAGAGAAUUCAAACAUGUUACACAACUUCAUCAACGAGUUUUUCGCUUCUGGAGGUAGUGGACACAACUCCAACGAUCCUGAUAUAUGAUGGAGUUAGCUUUGUGCCGAAUUGUGCGUUGUAAUGGACUAAUAGUGGACUUUAUGUUUGUAUGGACUAUUUGUGGACUUUAUGUUUGUAUGGACGCCAAUUUUAUGUUGUGGACUAUUUGUGAAUUGUGUAUUUAAUGUUUCUGUAUUGUGGA